rnacentral:rRNA from 1 species
CAGCAUGGUCUUAGCUUGCUAAGGCCGAUGGCGACCGGCGCACGGGUGAGUAACACGUAUCCAACCUGCCGUCUACUCUUGGACAGCCUUCUGAAAGGAAGAUUAAUACAAGAUGGCAUCAUGAGUCCGCAUGUUCACAUGAUUAAAGGUAUUCUGGUAGACGAUGGGGAUGCGUUCCAUUAGAUAGUAGGCGGGGUAACGGCCCACCUAGUCUUCGAUGGAUAGGGGUUCUGAGAGGAAGGUCCCCCACAUUGGAACUGAGACACGGUCCAAACUCCUACGGGAGGCAGCAGUGAGGAAUAUUGGUCAAUGGGCGCAGGCCUGAACUAGCCAAGUAGCGUGAAGGAUGACUGCCCUAUGGGUUGUAAACUUCUUUUAUAAAGGAAUAAAGUCGGGUAUGCAUGCCCGUUUGCAUGUACUUUAUGAAUAAGGAUCGGCUAACUCCGUGCCAGCAGCCGCGGUAAUACGGAGGAUCCGAGCGUUAUCCGGAUUUAUUGGGUUUAAAGGGAGCGUAGAUGGAUGUUUAAGUCAGUUGUGAAAGUUUGCGGCUCAACCGUAAAAUUGCAGUUGAUACUGGAUAUCUUGAGUGCAGUUGAGGCAGGCGGAAUUCGUGGUGUAGCGGUGAAAUGCUUAGAUAUCACGAAGAACUCCGAUUGCGAAGGCAGCCU